CCUACGGGAGGCAGCAGUGGGGAAUAUUGGACAAUGGGGGGAACCCUGAUCCAGCGACGCCGCGUGAGUGAAGAAGUAUUUCGGUAUGUAAAGCUCUAUCAGCAGGGAAGAAAGAAAUGACGGUACCUGACUAAGAAGCCCCGGCUAACUACGUGCCAGCAGCCGCGGUAAUACGUAGGGGGCAAGCGUUAUCCGGAUUUCCUGGGUGUAAAGGGAGCGUAGACGGCGAUGCAAGUCUGAAGUGAAAGGCGGGGGCCCAACCCCCGGACUGCUUUGGAAACUGGAUGGCUGGAGUGAAGGAGAGGUAAGUGGAAUUCGUAGUGUAGCGGUGAAAUGCGUAGAUAUGAGGAGGAACACCAGUGGCGAAGGCGGCUUACUGGACUGUAACUGACGUUGAGGCUCGAAAGCGUGGGGAGCAAACAGGAUUAGAUACCCCGGUAGUC
rnacentral:rRNA from 1 species